AUUGAACGCUGGCGGCAGGCUUAACACAUGCAAGUCGAGCGGGGGGAGGUAGCUUGCUACCUAACCUAGCGGCGGACGGGUGAGUAAUGCUUAGGAAUCUGCCUAUUAGUGGGGGACAACAUUUCGAAAGGGAUGCUAAUACCGCAUACGCCCUAAGGGGGAAAGCAGGGGAUCUUCGGACCUUGCGCUAAUAGAUGAGCCUAAGUCGGAUUAGCUAGUUGGGGGGGUAAAGGCCUACCAAGGCGACGAUCUGUAGCGGGUCUGAGAGGAUGAUACGCCACACUGGGACUGAGACACGGCCCAGACUCCUACGGGAGGCAGCAGUGGGGAAUAUUGGACAAUGGGGGGAACCCUGAUCCAGCCAUGCCGCGUGUGUGAAGAAGGCCUUUUGGUUGUAAAGCACUUUAAGCGAGGAGGAGGCUACCGAGAUUAAUACUCUUGGAUAGUGGACGUUACUCGCAGAAUAAGCACCGGCUAACUCUGUGCCAGCCGCCGCGGUAAAAC
rnacentral:rRNA from 1 species